rnacentral:rRNA from 1 species
AGGGAAUCUUCCGCAAUGGACGAAAGUCUGAUGCAGCAACGCCGCGUGAGUGAUGAAGGUCUUCGGAUUGUAAAGCUCUGUCUUCUGGGACGAUAAUGACGGUACCAGAGGAGGAAGCCACGGCUAACUACGUGCCAGCAGCCGCGGUAAUACGUAGGUGGCAAGCGUUGUCCGGAAUUACUGGGCGUAAAGGGUGCGCAGGCGGACAUUUAAGUGAGAUGUGAAAGACCCGGGCUUAACUUGGGCAGUGCAUUUCAAACUGGAUGUCUGGAGUGCAGGAGAGGAGAACGGAAUUCCUAGUGUAGCGGUGAAAUGCGUAGAGAUUAGGAAGAACACCAGUGGCGAAGGCGGUUCUCUGGACUGUAACUGACGCUGAGGCACGAAAGCGUGGGUAGCAAAC